rnacentral:rRNA from 1 species
UACGUAGAGUGCGAACGUUAAUCGGAAUUACUGGGCGUAAAGUGUGCGCAGGCGGCCGCGCAAGUCGAGUGUGAAAGCCCCGGGCUUAACUUGGGAAUUGCGCUCGAAACUACGUGGCUGGAGUGUGGCAGAGGAAGGUGGAAUUCCACGUGUAGCGGUGAAAUGCGUAGAGAUGUGGAGGAACACCAAUGGCGAAGGCAGCCUUCUGGGCCAACACUGACGCUCAUGCACGAAAGCGUGGGGAGCAAACAGG